CAAAUAUGCAAAACCUACUGCUUUGAGAUUUUUUUUUAACAGAUGUGUUCCCUACAGAACAGGUUUCUCUUAUUGCCUGGAUCCAAGAGCAUCUCCUGGGUUCUUCCUGUUAGAAUACUGAAUGUCCAUGGAGAGUUUAACAUAAGGAAGAAGAGGCCUGUCUCCCAGCUGAAACUGGUGCAGCAGAUCAUGCAAAGUAAAACCUCAGCAGCUGUGAUGAAGUAGAGCAGAGGGCCUGGGUGUCUGUCAGCUCCAAGCGGAAGAUUUCCCCAGCUUUCUAGAUUUCUGACUUCAUAUCUGUGGGAUCCACACAAUGGGGAGGUACUGGCCUUGGAAUCCAUGGUUCCCCAGCUAUCAUUUUACUUUAGAAUUACAGUGUUCUCUGUUAGUGUCAAGGGAAUGAACCUGACGAGAAAAGACCAAACAUAGGACUGUUACAGGGAAGAAAAAUAUGAAAAGACCUAAAGAUGCACGUCCUCAUUAUAUGUAAGGAAUCUAUUUCCUAGAAUCCUAUAAAAAGCUCAAGUGAAUUUGCUUCAGUUAAUAAAUGUGAUUUAAU
rnacentral:lncRNA from 1 species